UACGGAGGGGGCUAGCGUUGUUCGGAAUCAUUGGGCGUAAAGGGCGCGUAGGCGGCCGAUCAAGUCGGAGGUGAAAUCCCUCGGCUCAACUGAGGAACUGCCUUCGAUACUGUUCGGCUUGAGUCCUGGAGAGGGUAGCGGUAUUCCCGGUGUAGCGGUGAAAUGCGUAGAGACCGGGAAGAACACCAGUGGCGAAGGCGGCUACCUGGACAGGUACUGACGCUGAAGCGCGAAAGCUAGGGGAGCAAACAGG
rnacentral:rRNA from 1 species